AAGCAUGGAUUGCAAAAUCGUUUGCAUGCCCCGAGGUGACCAACUUAAAACAGGUGACUCGUUUUGGAAGCAAAACAAACACAAGAAGGGGAUUUGGGUUGCAGGCAGCUGUGGAUCCUGCACGCUCAGCUGGUGACGCACAAAGAAACAGGUGACGGCGUCGGGAUGUUUGCCCUGCAAGGGUGCCACCACGUGCUUCUUUCCCCUGGAACAAGCUCUCUCGGUAAAAUCUGCACCUGGCCUGGUGGUCUUGGCAACAUCGGACAACCUCUAGCAGAUGUUCGCCUCUCUUUUGUCGAUGACUUCGCGGUGGCUGCUCCGCGAGACAAAACUGCGGAUCAUCUCAUGGGUUCCUCGGCUGCAGAGAUCGUACGUGAUGAAGCUUUACUCAGUCACCAGAUCCGGGAUGAAAGUUACCCUUUGGCUGUGUGACAGACAGGAAGAAAAGGACACUCACGCUAGUGUGAAGGCAUAUGAAAUGGUUUCGCAGCCAGCCAAACUUCCUGAAUCCUCUUCUAUGGAGAGAUGCCAAACCACAGAAGAGAGAAUAAGGGUAGCCAGGAAGAAGAGAAAGAAGGAGCUGAAAGAGAAAGAUAGAGACAGAAAGGGCAGGGAGGAGACAACUAGACCCCCCAUCUGAUGCUAGUUUGGGCCCUGAUCGGAUCCCAGCAGGGCUAAGUGUGAGGCGCUCAGCGGGACGUCCCCUCUUCAAACUCUCCACCUCUUCCCUUUCCUCUUUUUAGUCUCCAGACAUUGUAAAUGAGGUCAUCUCUCCUGGACUGGUCCAUCCAGGCUGAUGCCCAACGGUGCUCAAAGCCAACCUCUCACUACCUGGCCUUUCCUUUGCUUUGUUUUGUCUCUCUCAGAGGCUGUCCAUUAGUCACUUUAUUCUCUCUCUCUCUCUUCAUAAAUGAUUUCCUAUUUUAUCACAACUAGGUGUAGAAUCAAAUAUAGAAAACGAUCAGUAGAUUUUAACAGUCCACUUGCAUUUGAAUAACAAGAGACUGUAUUUAUAAAAAUUAGGCUUCUAUCAUAUAAAAUUACUAAAUGUAAUAAUAUUUAAAACGUUAAAUACAAAUCCAGUCUAAUCACAGAAAAUAACUGAACGCUGAAUGCACUUUUAAAAAUAAAGGUUCUUUACUGGCAAAGGUUCGAUGAGGA
ensembl:lncRNA